rnacentral:tRNA from 1 species
GUUCGUGUGGAUUAUGGGUUUAAAAUUGUGAUGCUGUUAACUUCGAGAAGGUCGUUGGGCCCGCGAGCG